GAUGAACGCUGGCGGCGUGCCUAAUACAUGCAAGUCGAGCGAACAGACGAGGAGCUUGCUCCUCUGACGUUAGCGGCGGACGGGUGAGUAACACGUGGAUAACCUACCUAUAAGACUGGGAUAACUUCGGGAAACCGGAGCUAAUACCGGAUAACAUGUUGAACCGCAUGGUUCAACAGUGAAAGACGGUCUUGCUGUCACUUAUAGAUGGAUCCGCGCCGCAUUAGCUAGUUGGUAAGGUAACGGCUUACCAAGGCAACGAUGCGUAGCCGACCUGAGAGGUUGAUCGGCCACACUGGAACUGAGACACGGUCCAGACUCCUACGGGAGGCAGCAGUAGGGAAUCUUCCGCAAUGGGCGAAAGCCUGACGGAGCAACGCCGCGUGAGUGAUGAAGGUCUUCGGAUCGUAAAACUCUGUUAUUAGGGAAGAACAAAUGUGUAAGUAACUAUGCACGUCUUGACGGUACCUAAUCAGAAAGCCACGGCUAACUACGUG
rnacentral:rRNA from 1 species